UUUCCGUAGGUGAACCCGCGGAGGGAUCAUUAAUGAGUUGUCAUGGGGUUCGAUGCUGGCAGCCAGUUUUUGGAUGCAUGUGCUUGCCCUAACAAUCAUCUUCUUCCAAACACCUGUGCACAUUUUUGAGGGAGUCUUGAGUUGGUUGCCGCUCUUGGGUGAUUUUCUCACAUUCCCUUAAAUCAUUAUACGCUAUUAACAAUGUUGAACGUGCUCUGUGCCGCAAGGCCAUUAAUAUAAUACAACUUUUAACAACGGAUCUCUUGGCUCUC
rnacentral:misc_RNA from 1 species